AUUGAACGCUGGCGGCAUGCCUUACGCAUGCAAGUCGAACGGCAGCACGGGAGCAAUCCUGGUGGCGAGUGGCGAACGGGUGAGUAAUAUAUCGGAACGUGCCCGGUCGUGGGGAUAACGUAGCGAAAGCUACGCUAAUACCGCAUACGAUCUACGGAUGAAAGCGGGGGAUCGCAAGACCUCGCGCGAUUGGAGCGGCCGAUAUCAGAUUAGGUAGUUGGUGAGGUAAAGGCUCACCAAGCCGACGAUCUGUAGCUGGUCUGAGAGGACGACCAGCCACACUGGGACUGAGACACGGCCCAGACUCCUACGGGAGGCAGCAGUGGGGAAUUUUGGACAAUGGGCGCAAGCCUGAUCCAGCAAUGCCGCGUGCAGGAUGAAGGCCUUCGGUUGGUAAACUGCUUUUGUACGGUAACGAAACGGUAGAGCUCUAAUACAGUUUGU
rnacentral:rRNA from 1 species